UCCUGGUUAACCCAGGCAGUCUCAUUAGAGUUCCCACCAUUACGUGUUGGCAACUAAUGAUAAGGGUUGCGCUCGUUGCGGGACUUAACCCAACACCUCACGGCACGAGCUGACGACAGCCAUGCAGCACCUGUGCAGCGGCUCCGAAGAGAAUUACCAUUUCUGGUAACGUCCACUGCAUGUCAAGCCUGGGUAAGGUUCUUCGCGUUGCAUCGAAUUAAACCACAUGCUCCACUGCUUGUGCGGGUCCCCGUCAAUUCUUUUGAGUUUCACCCUUGCGAGUGUACUCCCCAGGCGGUAUACUUAUCGCGUUAGCUUCGGCACAACCGGGGUUGAGUCCAGUUACACCAAGUAUACAUCGUUUACGGCAAGGACUAC
rnacentral:misc_RNA from 1 species